GUCUACGGUCAUGCCACCUGAAUGUGCCUGAGCUCAUCUGAUCGCAGAAGCUAAGCAGGGUUAGACCUGGUUAGUACUUGGAUGGGAGACCACCUAGGAAGACCAGGUGCAGUAGGAG
rnacentral:rRNA from 1 species